UUUUAUUCAACGGCCGCGGUAUUCUGACCGUGCAAAGGUAGCAUAAUCACUUGUCUUUUAAAUAAAGACUAGUAUGAACGGCGUCACGAAAGCCUAACUGUCUCCUUUAUUUAGUCAAUGAAACUGAUCUUCACGUACAAAAGCGUGAAUAUUAAAAUAAGACGAGAAGACCCUAUGGAACUUAAAACACGCAGCCAUUUUAAUCUAACACAACAGCAAUAAUACACCUGGAUUUCGCUGUUUUUGGUUGGGGCGACCACGGAGUAAAAUACAACCUCCGAGAACAUCUACUAAGAUUAACAAAACAACGUACCAAAACUUUAGCCUUUAAGACCCAAUAAACUUGAUCAUCGAACCAAGCUACCCUAGGGAUAACAGCGCAAUCUUCUUUCAGAGCCCUUAUCACCAAGAAGGUUUACGACCUCGAUGUUGGAUCAGGAUGCCCAGACAGUGCAGCCGCCGUCAAAGGUUUGUUUGUUCAACAAUUAAUAAUCCUACGUGAUCUGA
rnacentral:rRNA from 1 species